CUGAAUAGGGCGCAUAAGUAACAGGUCGUAGACCCGAAACCAGGUGAUCUACCCAUGUCCAGGAUGAAGGUAAGGUAAUACUUACUGGAGGUCCGAACCCACGCACGUUGAAAAGUGCGGGGAUGAGGUGUGGGUAGCGGAGAAAUUCCAAUCGAACUUGGAGAUAGCUGGUUCUCUCCGAAAUAGCUUUAGGGCUAGCCUCGAGGUAAAGAGUCAUGGAGGUAGAGCACUGUUUGGACUAGGGGCCCUUCUCGGGUUACCGAAUUCAGAUAAACUCCGAAUGCCAUGUACUUAUACUCGGGAGUCAGACUGCGAGUGAUAAGAUCCGUAGUCGAAAGGGAAACAGCCCAGACCACCAGUUAAGGUCCCC
rnacentral:rRNA from 1 species